rnacentral:ncRNA from 1 species
AGUCUUACUGCUCCAUGAUUGGGUAUAGGCAUGAUAGUCUGCACAGAGCCUUUUCCAAAAGAUUGCGUGCCCAUAAUUACAGCUCUUCUAUGAUCCUGUAACGCGCCCGCAACUAUUUCAGAUGCAGACGCAGAACCACCAUUUAUCAACACAACCAUUGGCAAACCAUCAAUCAAAUCCCCGGGUCUGGCAUUAUAUCUUUGAGACCUCUUUCCUUCCCUGCCGCGGGUAGACACUAUUUCACCGCGUUCUAAAAACGCAUCAGUCACUUUAAUGGCCUGGCUCAGCAAGCCUCCUGGAUUG